rnacentral:rRNA from 1 species
ACUCCUACGGGAGGCAGCAGUGGGGAAUAUUGCACAAUGGGCGAAAGCCUGAUGCAGCCAUGCCGCGUGUGUGAAGAAGGCCUCGGUUGUAAGACACUUCUAGCGAGGAGGAAAGGUUAGACGGUUAAGUAACCGUCAGCUGUGACGUUACUCGCAGAAGAAGCACCGGCUAACUCCGUGCCAGCAGCCGCGGUAAUACGGAGGUGCGAGCGUAAUCGGAAUUACUGGCGUAAGCGCAUGCAGGCGGCCGAAGUCAGUCAGAUGUGAAAGCCCGGGCUUAACCUGGGAAUUGCAUUUGAUACUGCUUGGCUAGAGUCCUUGAGAGGGGGUAGGAAUUUCAGGUGUAGCGGUGAAAUGCGUAGAGAUCUGAAGGAAUACCAGUGGCGAAGGCGGCCCCCUGGGCAAGAGACUGACGCUCAGAUGCGAAAGCGUGGGGAGC